AACGAACGCUGGCGGCAUGCCUAACACAUGCAAGUCGAACGAGACCUUCGGGUCUAGUGGCGCACGGGUGCGUAACGCGUGGGAACCUGCCCUUAGGUUCGGAAUAACUCCCCGAAAGGGGUGCUAAUACCGGAUAAUGUCUUCGGACCAAAGAUUUAUCGCCUUUGGAUGGGCCCGCGUUGGAUUAGCUAGUUGGUAGGGUAAAAGCAUACCAAGGCGACGAUCCAUAGCUGGUCUGAGAGGAUGAUCAGCCACACUGGGACUGAGACACGGCCCAGACUCCUACGGGAGGCAGCAGUGGGGAAUAGUGGACAAUGGGCGAAAGCCUGAUCCAGCAAUGCCGCGUGAGUGAUGAAGGCCUUAGGGUUGUAAAGCUCUUUUAACCGGGAUGAUAAUGACAGUACCGGGAGAAUAAGCUCCGGCUAACUCCGUG
rnacentral:rRNA from 1 species